rnacentral:lncRNA from 1 species
AGCAGUGAUGGAGCACCUGGUGGGAAGGCAGGGCCAAUCCAGGGGGCUCAGGUGCAUGCAAUGUAGCUGAGUGAUGGAAGGGAUGGAGCCAGGAUCCACCCCUUCCCAGCCCUCAUUUACGGGUUGGCAGUAGAGGUGAGGGCAUUUCUUGCUGGAGAUCCUGAGGCCUCCCAAGGCAUUACACCUGCCUCACCUGGGAAAUGCAGAGACUCUGGGUAGUGGAGCUACAGAAAGUAAGGAUUGCUUUGGGACAAAUGGUUUCAAUGGGGGCCCUGUUCUGGAUUUGGACAUUGAAGCCUCUGAAUCAGUUGCUAAAGAGAGCUGUGGAAUUGGGGGAAGUGCAGUUUGACCAUCAGGUUUCAGGGAGUCUCAAAAACACUGAACUGCAGGUUUGGGUCGCACAACCAGCUGAUGGAGCACAUCAGAGAUGCAGGACUUUAGGUUUGCUUCUGUGCCUGUGCUGGAUGUUUUGUUUGAGAAAAGUUUCUCUGUAUGUACAGUGAGGUGCUCAGACUUCAUUUAGCAGCGCCACUGUUGGGGAGCCUCAGCUCUGGGAGGGGUUUGGUUGGUCAGAUCCUGCUGGUGGUUUGCUGGGCAAUGGGGGGAGUUUCUGUGUUGCUUUGUUUUGCUGUUGUUUUGGCUCAGGCGUUGGGCUGCAGUCUUUGGACGUCAGGCAGCCUCACAGCUGCUCUGACACACAC